CCUACGGGUGGCAGCAGUGGGGAAUAUUGGUCAAUGGGCGCGAGCCUGAACCAGCCAAGUCUCGUGAGGGAAGACGGCCCUACGGGUUGUAAACCUCUUUUGCCGGGGAGCAACGGGCGCCACGUGUGGCGCCACUGAGAGUACCCGGAGAAAAAGCACCGGUUAACUCCGGGCCAGCAGCCGCGGUAAUACGGGGGAUGCGAGCGUUAUCCGGAUUUAGUGGGUUGAAAGGGUGCGUAGGCGGAGCGUUAAGUCAGUGGUCAAAUUGAGGGGCUCAACCCCUUCCCGCCAUUGAAACUGGCGCUCUUGAGUGGAAGAGAGGUAUGCGGAAUGCGUGGUGUAGCGGUGAAAUGCAUAGAUAUCACGCAGAACCCCGAUUGCGAAGGCAGCAUGCCGGCUUCCUACUGACGCUGAAGCACGAAAGCGUGGGGAUCGAACAGGAUUAGAUACCCCUGUAGUC
rnacentral:rRNA from 1 species